UACGUAGGUGGCAAGCGUUGUCCGGAUUUACUGGGCGUAAAGAGCGCGCAGGCGGUCGUUCAAGUCGCGUGUGAAAGCCCCCUGGCUCAACUGGGGAGGGUCACGCGAUACUGUUCGACUCGAAGGCAGGAGAGGGAAGUGGAAUUCCCGGUGUAGUGGUGAAAUGCGUAGAUAUCGGGAGGAACACCAGUGGCGAAGGCGGAUCUCGUGGCCUUAGUGACGCUGAGGAGCGAAAGCGAGGGGAGCGAGAG
rnacentral:rRNA from 1 species